GAUGAACGCUAGCGACAGGCUUAACACAUGCAAGUCGAGGGGCAGCAUUAAUAAUAGCAAUAUUAUUAGAUGGCGACCGGCGCACGGGUGAGUAACGCGUAUGCAACCUACCUAUCAGAUUGGGAUAGCCCAUCGAAAGAUGGAUUAAUACCGAAUAAAACAGGGGUCCCGCAUGGGAAUAUUUGUUAAAGGAUUUAUUGCUGAUAGAUGGGCAUGCGUUCCAUUAGUUAGUUGGUGUAGGUAACGGCUCACCAAGACAUCGAUGGAUAGGGGUUCUGAGAGGAAGGUCCCCCACACUGGUACUGAGACACGGACCAGACUCCUACGGGAGGCAGCAGUGAGGAAUAUUGGUCAAUGGGCGAGAGCCUGAACCAGCCAAGUCGCGUGAAGGAUGACUGCCCUAUGGGUUGUAAACUUCUUUUAUUGGGGAAUAAAAAGCACUACGUGUAGUGUAUUGCAUGUACCCAAAUGAAUAAGCAUCGGCUAACUCCGUGCCAGCAGCCGCAGUAACAC
rnacentral:rRNA from 1 species